CACGUAGUUGGCCGGCGCUUCUUCUGCAGGUACACGUCAACUUCGUCCCUGCUGAAAGAGGUUUACAACCCGAAGGCCUUCAUCCCCCACGCGGCGUCGCUGCGUCAGGCUUCCGCCCAUUGCGCAAUAUUCCCCACUGCUGCCUCCCGUAGGAGUCUGGGCCGUGUCUCAGUCCCAGUGUGGCCGACCGCCCUCUCAGGCCGGCUACCCGUCAUCGCCUUGGUGGGCCGUUACCCCGCCAACUAGCUGAUGGGCAGCGAGCCCAUCCCUGGCCGGAACCCCACAAGGGGGAACCCUUUCCGACCACCAUCCCAUGCGGGAAGUGGUCGUAUCCGGUAUUAAUCCCAGUUUCCCGGGGCUAUCCCGGUGCCAGGGGCAGGUUGCUCACGUGUUACUCACCCGUUCGCCGCUCGGCUCCACACCCGAAGGUGCGGUCCUCGCUCGACUUGCAUGUGUUAAGCACGCCGCCAGCGUGUCCUCGUAGCCACGGAGUCAAACUAC
rnacentral:rRNA from 1 species